rnacentral:rRNA from 1 species
GACGAACGCUGGCGGCGUGCUUAACACAUGCAAGUCGAACGGAAAGGCCCUGCUUUUGUGGGGUGCUCGAGUGGCGAACGGGUGAGUAACACGUGAGUAACCUGCCCUUGACUUUGGGAUAACUUCAGGAAACUGGGGCUAAUACCGGAUAGGAGCUCCUGCUGCAUGGUGGGGGUUGGAAAGUUUCGGCGGUAGGGGAUGGACUCGCGGCUUAUCAGCUUGUUGGUGGGGUAGUGGCUUACCAAGGCUUUGACGGGUAGCCGGCCUGAGAGGGUGACCGGCCACAUUGGGACUGAGAUACGGCCCAGACUCCUACGGGAGGCAGCAGUGGGGAAUAUUGCACAAUGGGCGGAAGCCUGAUGCAGCAACGCCGCGUGCGGGAUGACGGCCUUCGGGUUGUAAACCGCUUUCGCCUGUGGCGAAGCGUGAGUGACGGUAAUGGGUAAAGAAGCACCGGCUAACUACGUG